rnacentral:rRNA from 1 species
UACAGAGGUCCCAAGCGUUGUUCGGAUUCACUGGGCUUAAAGGGCGCGUAGGUGGUGCGGUAAGUCGGUUGUGAAAUCUCCGGGCUCAACCCGGAAAUGGCAUUGGAAACUACCUUGCUGGAGGAUUUGAGGGGGGAUUGGAAUACUUGGUGUAGCAGUGAAAUGCGUAGAUAUCAAGUGGAACACCAGUGGCGAAGGCGAAACCCUGGAAAAUACCUGACACUGAGGCACGAAAGCUAGGGGAGCAAACAGG